GCGCCGGUGGUGUAAGGCGAACAUCGCUGCCCGGAAAGCAGAAGAUGCGGGUUCGAGUCCCGCCUGGCGUA
rfam:Heligmosomoides polygyrus genome assembly, scaffold: HPBE_scaffold0000199